rnacentral:lncRNA from 1 species
GGAGGGUACAUCAAGACUUUGGUGGAUCCAAUCUCUUCCAAGUAAGGCUCCAUAGGUGGAGGUGCAGUCCACCACAAAGAACGCCAGCAUGAUCUGUUUAGACCCCAGAUCUACUUCCAAAGGCAAUAUCCCAAGAGUCUUGGUGAUAGCGCCCGAGAAACUAGAAACUGUGAGGUCUGUAGGAAUAAGAUCCUCUGUGCCUCUCCCCAACUUUUUCAUUUGCUUGGCUGGUAAUACAUUAACAGCUGCCCAUCCAUCAAUCAAAAUCCUUCUGAAGGGUACUCCCUCUAAAUGAGCUGUUACAUGUAUGGGCUUUAGAUGAUUGGCAAGUGAAAUGUUCGGGCGACUGAACACCAUUUUGUCUGUGUAGAUCCUUA